rnacentral:ncRNA from 1 species
CGCCAACGGGGGCUCGCACCAGCGGGCUGAGAGGACGGCUAGCCCGAUUCCGGGCGGAUCAGGGCCGUCGACCGUAUGAACCUGACCGGGUAAUGCCGGCGUAGGGAGGAAAU